AAAUUGAAGAGUUUGAUCAUGGCUCAGAUUGAACGCUGGCGGCAGGCCUAACACAUGCAAGUCGAACGGUAACAGGAAGCAGCUUGCUGCUUCUCUGACGAGUGGCGGACGGGUGAGUAAUGUCUGGGAAACUGCCUGAUGGAGGGGGAUAACUACUGGAAACGGUGGCUAAUACCGCAUAACGUCGCAAGACCAAAGAGGGGGACCUUCGGGCCUCUUGCCAUCAGAUGUGCCCAGAUGGGAUUAGCUUGUUGGUGAGGUAA
rnacentral:rRNA from 1 species